UACGGAGGGAGCUAGCGUUGUUCGGAAUUACUGGGCGUAAAGCGCACGUAGGCGGCUUUUUAAGUCAGGGGUGAAAUCCCGGGGCUCAACCCCGGAACUGCCCUUGAAACUGGAGAGCUAGAAUCUUGGAGAGGCGAGUGGAAUUCCGAGUGUAGAGGUGAAAUUCGUAGAUAUUCGGAAGAACACCAGUGGCGAAGGCGACUCGCUGGACAAGUAUUGACGCUGAGGCACGAAAGCGUGGGGAGCAAACAGG
rnacentral:rRNA from 1 species